GCUCGGACGCGAGUUCUAU
rnacentral:snRNA from 1 species